CUACGGGAGGCUGCAGUGGGGAAUAUUGGACAAUGGGGGAAACCCUGAUCCAGCAAUGCCGCGUGUGUGAAGAAGGCCUGCGGGUUGUAAAGCACUUUCGGUUGGGAGGACUGCUUCUAGCACUAAUAUUGUUGGAAGUUGACGUUACCUUCAGAAGAAGCACCGGCUAACUCCGUGCCAGCAGCCGCGGUAAUACGGAGGGUGGCAAGCGUAAAUCGGAAUUACUGGGCGUAAAGCGCGCGUAGGCGGCUAGAUCAGUCGGGUGUGAAAGCCCCGGGCUUAACCUGGGAACUGCAUCCGAUACUGUCUAGCUUGAGUACAGGAGAGGAGAGUGGAAUUCCACAUGUAGUGGUGAAAUGCGUAGAUAUGUGGAGGAACACCAAUGGCGAAGGCAGCUCUCUGGCCUGAUACUGACGCUGAGGUGCGAAAGCGUGGGGAGCAAACAGGAUUAGAUACCCUAGUAGUC
rnacentral:rRNA from 1 species